rnacentral:ncRNA from 1 species
UCCGUCGCGAGGCGGGGUCUGAAGGAAGCGUGUAGCAAAACCACGACUCGACGAACAGGAAUCGGAUAAGAGGCAUGGCAGAUGGGACGAGUCCGCACGACAGUGACGAAGUCCUCCAUCCAUCAAAGGUCUGCUCUGUAAAUCCGGCGGGUGCGUGGUGAAAGUCGAGAAA